CUACGGGGCGCUGCAGUGGGGAAUAUUGCACAAUGGAGGAAACUCUGAUGCAGCAACGCCGCGUGGAGGAUGACACUUUUCGGAGCGUAAACUCCUUUUAUAUAGGAAGAAGAUGACGGUACUAUAUGAAUAAGCGCCGGCUAACUCCGUGCCAGCAGCCGCGGUAAUACGGAGGGCGCAAGCGUUACUCGGAAUCACUGGGCGUAAAGAGCGUGUAGGCGGAUUAAAAAGUCAGAAGUGAAAUCCUAUGGCUUAACUAUAGAACUGCUUCUGAAACCCUUAAUCUAGAAUAUGGGAGAGGUAGAUGGAAUUUCUGGUGUAGGGGUAAAAUCCGUAGAGAUCAGAAGGAAUACCGAUUGCGAAGGCGAUCUACUAGAACAUUAUUGACGCUGAGACGCGAAAGCGUGGGGAGCAAACAGGAUUAGAUACCCUAGUAGUC
rnacentral:rRNA from 1 species